UUGAGYUUGAUCMUGGCUCAGAUUGAACGCUGGCGGCAGGCCUAACACAUGCAAGUCGAGCGGAAACGAUGGAAGCUUGCUUCCAGGCGUCGAGCGGCGGACGGGUGAGUAAUGCAUGGGAAUCUGCCCGAUAGUGGGGGAUAACCUGGGGAAACCCAGGCUAAUACCGCAUACGUCCUACGGGAGAAAGCAGGGGAUCUUCGGACCUUGCGCUAUCGGAUGAGCCCAUGUCGGAUUAGCUUGUUGGUGAGGUAAUGGCUCACCAAGGCGACGAUCCGUAGCUGGUCUGAGAGGAUGAUCAGCCACAUCGGGACUGAGACACGGCCCGAACUCCUACGGGAGGCAGCAGUGGGGAAUAUUGGACAAUGGGCGAAAGCCUGAUCCAGCCAUGCCGCGUGUGUGAAGAAGGCCCUCGGGUUGUAAAGCACUUUCAGUGGGGAAGA
rnacentral:rRNA from 1 species